rnacentral:pre_miRNA from 1 species
UGCUGCUGCACUGCACUUGGACUUUUUUUACAAGAGUGAAGAAUUAUAAAAAAGUCCAAGUGCAGUGCAGCAGCA